GAUGAACGCUGACAGAAUGCUUAACACAUGCAAGUCUUUGGCGAAGCUGUGCUUGCACCUCCUAGCCAAGGCGGACGGGUGAGUAACGCGUAAGGAACUUGCCCUGCAGUCAGGGAUAACAGACGGAAACGACUGAUAAGACCUGGUAAAGUCAGGCGGACUCCUGUCCAGCCUGAUGAAAAGAGAUGCUGCAGGAGAUCCUUGCGUCCUAUUAGCUUGUUGGUGGGGUAACGGCUCACCAAGGCGAUGAUAGGUAGCCGGCCUGAGAGGGUGGACGGCCAAAAGGGGAAUGAGAUACAGCCGUUACGCCUACGGGAGGCAGCAGUGGGGAAUAUUGGACAAUGGGGGCAACACUGAUGAAGCAAUUCUGUGUGCACGAUGAAGGUUUUAGGAUUGAAAAGUGGUGUCAGAAGGGAAGAAAAAAAUGACGGUACCUGCAGAAGAAGCGACGGCUAAAUACGUG
rnacentral:rRNA from 1 species